rnacentral:rRNA from 1 species
UACGGAGGGUGCGAGCGUUAAUCGGAAUUACUGGGCGUAAAGCGUGCGUAGGCGGUUUGAUAAGUCGGGUGUGAAAGCCCCGGGCUUAACCUGGGAAUUGCAUUCGAUACUAUCUGACUCGAGUCUGGGAGAGGGAAGCGGAAUUCCGGGUGUAGCGGUGAAAUGCGUAGAUAUCCGGAGGAACACCGAUGGCGAAGGCAAUCCCCUGGGCCUGCACUGACGCUCAUGCACGAAAGCGUGGGGAGCAAACAGG